CCUACGGGAGGCAGCAGUGAGGAAUAUUGGUCAAUGGCCGGAAGGCUGAACCAGCCAAGCCGCGUGAAGGACGAAGGUGCCAAGCAUUGUAAACUUCUUUUGUCAAGGGACAAAAUCAGGCUCGCGAGCCUGACCGCGGGUACUUGAAGAAAAAGCAUCGGCUAACUCCGUGCCAGCAGCCGCGGUAAUACGGAGGAUGCGAGCGUUAUCCGGAUUUAUUGGGUUUAAGGGGUGCGUAGGCGGACUGUUAAGUCAGCGGUAAAAAUGCGGUGCUCAACGCCGUCGAGCCGUUGAAACUGGCGUUCUUGAGUGGGCGAGAAGUAGGCGGAAUGCGUGGUGUAGCGGUGAAAUGCAUAGAUAUCACGCAGAACUCCGAUUGCGAAGGCAGCAUACCGGCGCCCUACUGACGCUGAGGCACGAAAGCGUGGGUAUCGAACAGGAUUAGAUACCCCAGUAGUC
rnacentral:rRNA from 1 species